GUGGGGAAUAUUGGACAAUGGGGGGAACCCUGAUCCAGCCAUGCCGCGUGUGUGAAGAAGGCCUUUUGGUUGUAAAGCACUUUAAGCGAGGAGGAGGCUACCGAGAUUAAUACUCUUGGAUAGUGGACGUUACUCGCAGAAUAAGCACCGGCUAACUCUGUGCCAGCAGCCGCGGUAAUACAGAGGGUGCAAGCGUUAAUCGGAUUUACUGGGCGUAAAGCGCACGUAGGUGGCCAAUUAAGUCAAAUGUGAAAUCCCCGAGCUUAACUUGGGAAUUGCAUUCGAUACUGGUUGGCUAGAGUAUGGGAGAGGAUGGUAGAAUUCCAGGUGUAGCGGUGAAAUGCGUAGAGAUCUGGAGGAAUACCGAUGGCGAAGGCAGCCAUCUGGCCUAAUACUGACACUGAGGUGCGAAAGCAUGGGGAGCAAACAGGAUUAGAAACCCGGGUAGUCC
rnacentral:rRNA from 1 species